CUCCUGUCUGCAGGGUUUACGCGCACGUUGGAAUCGAAGAGAGCUCUGUUGUUGCAAUGUUCAGCCCACAAGAGCUUACAGGUGAAGGAAUGGGACAAGACCCAUCUUUAUGCAAAGCCAGCGUUACAGUAAUGUUCCAGCAUCUCAUAAUCUAUCCUGAGGAAUUCAGCUGCCUCCCAGGGUGAAUACAGGUAUUUCUGAUGACAGUCUGCCUCUAUCUUACAGAGCAGCUUGUUGCUAUAUACCAUUGAAAAGCCUUCAGAGCUAAGAGGUUAGUUGAUAUUUUUUGUUCCUUACAGCUCAUGCCACCAAGUAGGCAGUUUCUAUGAUGAAUCAAACUAGCUCACUAUGACUGACAGUGAAAAUACAUGAACACCUGAGAAACUGGAGAACGCAGGGAGUGGGGGGUAACCAUGUCUGAGGAAUCUUUCACCCACAGCUUUGUUUUUCUCUAGGUACUACUAACCAAUAACCUGCUUGGCUCAAAGGGCCAGCACCUUCUCUCUAAAGCCCAAGAGGAGUUUGAGGUAAA
rnacentral:sRNA from 1 species